UAAUAAUGGAAGAUGCAAUGUUGUAAAGUGUUAAAUCAAAGAGCCUGCUCACCAGACACCUUCACUUCCACCUAGGAGACAGAAUGGUGAUAUGGGACCAGGGCCUGGCAGUGGAGAGUGAUGAGAGGGUGGCCAUUCAAGGCUCCUCCCAAAAAAGCAGAAGAUGAGAAAAUUCCAUAAUCCUGGGCUUCAGCCUUGGAAGAGAACAAAAACAGGUCUGCAGGCCAGAGAGCUGUUGCCUGGAGUUGCUUGGGUGAUGAGAGAAUUUACCUACUCACUCAUGGUCCCCACAUCCUGACUGAGGGACAGGGUGACAGGCAUGGUUCUUAGAGGGAAAGAGAACAGUGGACAGUUCUGGGCCUCGUAUCCUCUCUCUGCCCCAACUGGAGCUUCUACUCCCAAACCUGCCCUACUGGAUCCUGGUCAGAACAUCUGGAAGCCCAGAGCUCACGUUUAACCCGGGAAAUGCCAGAAAGGAUUAGGCAGACACCAGAGACGUGCCUGUUGACACACUUUCCAGUGACUUAAAGCAAAAUAGGACCAGAAGUAGUUUGAAUACGUGGAUAAAAAUUCCGAACAUAGAGCAACUUGAAAUGGAAAGCCAGAAAAUUCUCUGUGAUUUCCGAAAGGAAAUUCCACAUCCAUUCCACAAGGAUGUGACUAUUUGGAGGCUGACAAAGAAGAGGUUCAGCGGGUGACACAGGACCAGAAUACCCCGAGAAGGAAAGCCAGAGAGGACCACCCCGGCGCGGUUCACCCAAUCCUCGGCGGUGAAGAAGAUAUAGGCCGUGAUA
rnacentral:lncRNA from 1 species